UGAAUACGAGACGCUAAGGCGUCGAAGUAGUGUAUGUCAUACUUCCAAGAAAAGCUUGCACUGUCAUAGAUAAAAAACGCCUGUACCAUAACCGACACAGGUGGGUAGGUAGAGUAUACUAAGGGGCGCGAGAUAACUCUCUCUAAGGAACUCGGCAAAAUAACUCCGUAACUUCGGGAGAAGGAGUGCCUUAUUCGUAAGGUUGCAAUAACAAGAUCCAAGCAACUGUUUAUCAAAAACACAGGUCUCCGCUAAGUCGUAAGACGAUGUAUGGGGGCUGACGCCUGCCCAGUGCCAGAAGGUUAAAGAAGUUGGUUAGCAAUUGCGAAGCUGAUAACUGAAGCCCUGGUGAACGGCGGCCGUAACAAUAACGGUCCUAAGGUAGCGAAAUUCCUUGUCGGGUAAGUUCCGACCCGCACGAAAGGCGUAAUGAUUUGGAUACUGUCUCGGAGAGGGGCUCGGUGAAAUAGACUUGUCUGUGAAGAUGCGGACUACCUGCACCAGGACAGAAAGACCCUAUGAAGCUUUACUGUAACUUGAAAUUGAAAUUGGACUUUAUUCGCGCAGUAUAGGUGGGAGGCGUUGAUUAUAAUCUUGUGGGAUUAUUGGAGCCAUCAGUGAGAUACCACUCUUGUAAUGUUAGAUUUCUAACUUUGAAUCAUUAUCUGGUCAAAGAACAGUUUCAGGCGGGCAGUUUGACUGGGGCGGUCGCCUCCUAAACGGUAACGGAGGCGUACAAAGGUUUCCUCUGAACGGUUAGAAAUCGUAUCUAGAGUGUAAAGGCAUAAGGAAGCUUGACUGUGAGACCUACAAGUCGAGCAGGGACGAAAGUCGGUCUUAGUGAUCUGACGGUACUGAGUGGAAAGGCCGUCACUCAACGGAUAAAAGUUACUCUAGGAUAACAGGCUGAUCUCCCCCAAGAGUUCACAUCGACGGGGAGGUUUGGCACCUCGAUGUCGGCUCAUCGCAUCCUGGGGCGGUAGUACGUCCCAAGGGUUGGGCUGUUCGCCCAUGAAAGCGGUACGCGAGCUGGGUUCAGAACGUCGUGAGACAGUUCGGUCCAUAUCCGGUGUAGGCGUUAGAAUAUUGAGAGGAGCCUUCUUUAGUACGAGAGGACCGAGAAGGACAUACCUCUGGUGUACCAGUUAUCGUGCCAACGGUAAACGCUGGGUAGCUAUGUAUGGAGUGGAUAACCGCUGAAAGCAUCUAAGUGGGUAGCCCACCUCAAGAUAAGUAUUCUC
rnacentral:rRNA from 1 species